CUGUUCCAGAGCUUCAAACGGUGAACAGUUUCUCCACUACCUCCCCGUGUCUCUCGACAUCAAACCCAAACUGCUCCCGGUUGGUUUCGACGUUGGUCACCACCAGAUUCGGGACCGGCCAAAAGCUGAUUCUUUCUCUUUAAACACCGAAGCAAGAGAUGUGUUCGGGUGUUCUUCCGAUCCCUGUCUCUCCAGCAACAGAUGUCUUUCGAAGGGGGCCGACUGGAAGGGAAAGAAAGAAUUUUAAUCAUUUUCCUCCGCGAGUAAAUCUUCCCCGGCUGGCAGAAGAAACGCCCUAGCUCACCAUCCUUCAUCCUCACCCCUUCUCCUCCUCGGAUCCAGUCUGGCGACCGGUGCCAAUUCAGUGCGAAGACGGCAAAGGAGAAGGGAGGUUUCUCACCCGCAAAGUCUGAGAGAUAUUAAGUCGUCCUGUUCGAAAAGCAAAACGAAAGCCUCUGAGAUGGAAACCACUCGCGGCCAACGAUAAAGUGCCCAGGCAAAACAAA